GGAGGGUACAGCUCAGUGGUGGAGUGCAUGCUCAGCGUGCAUGAGGUCCUGGGUUCGAUCCCCAGCACCUCCA
rnacentral:tRNA from 1 species